AUGGACAGAUUCCUGGGCCUGCUCGUCCUUUGGUUACAACUAGACUGGGUGAGCGGUAAACAGGACGUGGACCAGAGACCUGAUGCUCUGACCAUGCGAGAGGGAGAAAGCUUGGUUCUCAACUGCAGUUACACCGAUAGUGCUCCUUACUUCCUUCAGUGGUUUAGGCAAGAUCCUGGGAAAGGGCUUACAUCCCUGUUGUUAAUUCAGGCGAGUCAGAGAGAACAAACAAGUGGAAGAAUUAAAGCCUCGUGGGAUAAAUCGUCAAGACACAGUGCUUUAUACAUUGCAACUUCUCAGCCCAGCGACUCCGCCACCCGCCUCUGUGCUGUGAGGCACACUGCACAACAGGCACUUGCCAUCAAUAUGCAAACUCUGCAACUGGGGCUCCAACCAUGUCCUGUCUUGAUGCUGGGGAACCUUUUUCCAUUAAGGGCUUUUCUACAUUGA